rnacentral:rRNA from 1 species
AUGAACGCUGGCGGCGUGCCUAAUACCUGCAAGUCGAGCGAACAGACGAGGAGCUUGCUCCUCUGACGUUAGCGGCGGACGGGUGGGUAACACGUGGAUAACCUACCUAUAAGACUGGGAUAACUUCGGGAAACCGGAGCUAAUACCGGAUAAUAUAUUGAACCGCAUGGUUCAAUAGUGAAAGACGGUUUUGCUGUCACUUAUAGAUGGAUCCGCGCCGCAUUAGCUAGUUGGUAAGGUAACGGCUUACCAAGGCAACGAUGCGUAGCCGACCUGAGAGGGUGAUCGGCCACACUGGAACUGAGACACGGUCCAGACUCCUACGGGAGGCAGCAGUAGGGAAUCUUCCGCAAUGGGCGAAAGCCUGACGGAGCAACGCCGCGUGAGUGAUGAAGGUCUUCGGAUCGUAAAACUCUGUUAUUAGGGAAGAACAAAUGUGUAAGUAACUAUGCACGUCUUGACGGUACCUAAUCAGAAAGCCACGGCUAACUACGUG